UAUCGAGAUCCCACUGAUGCACAUGCUCGACCAAUCCUGAAGAGAGUACACCACAGAGACGACGUUUUAACAGCAAACACGCUGCAUUCCUCCUGCUGGUCCGCAGCUGGACUCCAAAAUAAAGUUUACAUUCCUGGGUAGCUGGGAGGAAUGCUGCCCUCUGGGGUCCUGGAUCAGGCCUGCGGAUUACAAGUCAGGGACCACGGAUGGAGACCGGGAUGCUCACUUACAAGCUAUUACCACUCCACCUGGUGAGAAUCAUCACUGAUCUGGAUCCCAGAGCAGACAAAGGAUUCACUGUCUGGCUCAAGGACACUUCUGCAGGAUGUGCUGCUGAAGGGCAUGAAACGGAGCAACAGCCACUUAUAAGAAAAGUAUGGACAUUGGUCAAAGACCUGACUGGCUGUGAUAAAAGGUAUGAUGCAGACUGAUUCUAUCAUAUAAUAUAAAAUGAAUGUAUUUGUUUAUAUAUUUAGUGGGGAUUAAGGAAAAUCUAGAUGGGUAUUGUAAAAAAAACAACUCCUAAAAUAUGCAUAAUAUGUCAAUUAAAAAUAGUCCUGACAGACCAUCAGAGAAAGAAAAAACAGGAGUAGCAUUACACAGUGUUAUAUUAUGGACUAGCUGGUGAUGUAAGUAAUUCUGUACUGCCCCCUGUUGGCAGAAAUAAAUCUGUCCUUAGAUUUAAUGCAAAAACAAAUUUACAUGAUCAUGAUAGAGGCAAACAUUUCAGGAGGUUUGAGUAUCCAUCUAUCUAGGAUCCGGGGUUUUAGCUUUUAGGAAAUAAAGGUCAGGAUAUCUUGGCUUCUGCAUCUUCUGCUUUGACCGUAAUUAGGAAAGGUACUUUAAACAUAUAUUAAUAGGGAGGAAUGGAAACCACAUUUUGUUAACCCCCAAUAAUGACCCAACUAAAGGACCUGACUUUACUUGGUUUGUCCAGAUACGUUAUUUUUCCAAUUCAUCCUCAUCCUAGCAGAAUGAAAUGCCUAUGUACAGCCUCACCUGUGAGUCAAAAUUCUGUCAUUAUUUGUGAUUUUUCCACACCACCAGGCAAAAGGGCCUCUGUGCCUCAGACACGUUGAGCUUUUAUAAAGGAGGAGGGUCAUCAACAUGCUCAGCCUUGGUUCUUGUUUGCUAGAAUCAUCGGUGGACCUGCGUUUUUCUUAAAUAAGGCAGUAAAAUAAAUGUUGAGGAAAAUUACAUCAACUGAAAAACAACCUAAUAACUCAGUGUGUGUCCGUCCACUUCAAACCAAACACACCCAGCUUCCCCUGCAGUAACUUUUCACCCGUUCAAACUUUCCUGUGCCUCCUUAGCUGUUACAUUUCUGUUCGGAAGGAAAAUCCUGCUCAGCUCUUUACAGCAACCUGCCACUUUGUGUGUGUAACCAGCCUAAAAUAUUCCCUGUCCUACUGACGCCCAGUUCAACCCGAUCUCUGCCCGAGUGAUGUAUUUGCAACACGUUGUCCAAAUCCUCCUCGUCUCGCACCCUGCCAAGGAAAGCUUCGCCUUCUGCGUCACGGCAGUCUGUUACUUCCACAUCCAGCUCCAACUCCAACAGCGUCUGUUCCGACAUAUGCCUGAACUGCCCCCAUGAUCUCAUCCUCUCAUUGCUGCCUGGAAUUUAUUUCCUUCAGUCUAACGGGUAAACAAGGAGAUGACACAUGAUGUGAGUGUUAACUCUUUUCAGACCAGAUUUGAUCUUUUCAAAACAAUUUACAGAAAAGGUCUCCAGAGGUGUACCACAGGGCUCUGUUGUUGGUCCUCUGGUGUUAUCUACUGGGGAACACCUUGUCCUGGUGCCAAAGAAGCUGAAUUAAAUGCGUCAUGCUCAACAGAAUUUUAGAUGGUCAACAAUGUUCCCUGAUACUUUCUACUUAACUAACAGGCCUCAUGUUCCCACUAAACCAUUUGACCAGUGUAUUAAUAGCUAACAUAUAAUCACAUGCAUCACAUUACAACCUUCAAAAAAAUUGUAUAGACUGUAAACCAUUGUUUAUGUAGAGAAUAUGCUUCUUGGAUUGAAUUUUAAAGUGAGUGGAUCUGGCAGCUUUUGAGAUUCAGCAUGUACUUAAUCAAGAAAGGUUACACAUAUUUGAUCUCCUCCAUAUGAACACUCGUGCUUUUACAUCAGGGCUGAGAAGGUGAUAAACACUUCGUUUCUUUCAAAUGACAUGAGUCUA